AUUGAACGCUGGCGGCAUGCUUUACACAUGCAAGUCGAACGGCAGCGGGGAGGAGCUUGCUUCUCUGCCGGCGAGUGGCGAACGGGUGAGUAAUACAUCGGAACGUGUCGAGAAGAGGGGGAUAACCACCCGAAAGGGUGGCUAAUACCGCAUAAACUCUGAGGAAGAAAGCUGGGGACCUAGGAAUAGGCCUAGCGCUUUUUGAGCGGCCGAUGUCGGAUUAGCUAGUUGGUGAGGUAAAGGCUCACCAAGGCGAAGAUCUGUAGCGGGUCUGAGAGGAUGAUCCGCCACACUGGGACUGAGACACGGCCCAGACUCCUACGGGAGGCAGCAGUGGGGAAUUUUGGACAAUGGGGGCAACCCUGAUCCAGCCAUGCCGCGUGUAUGAAGAAGGCCUUAGGGUUGUAAAGUACUUUUGUUAGGGAAGAAAAGUCAGCUGUGAAUAAUGGCUGAUACUGACGGUACCUAAAGAAUAAGCACCGGCUAACUACGUG
rnacentral:rRNA from 1 species